rnacentral:misc_RNA from 1 species
UCGCGGCUUAUCACCGGCAGUCCCCUUAGAGUGCCCAACUGAAUGAUGGCAACUAAGGGCGAGGGUUGCGCUCGUUGCGGGACUUAACCCAACAUCUCACGACACGAGCUGACGACAGCCAUGCAGCACCUGUCUCGCGAUUCCCGAAGGCACCAAGGCAUUUCUGCCGAGUUCCGCGGAUGUCGAGACCAGGUAAGGUUCUUCGCGUUGCGUCGAAUUAAACCACAUGCUCCGCUGCUUGUGCGGGCCCCCGUCAAUUCCUUUGAGUUUCAGCCUUGCGGCCGUACUCCCCAGGCGGGGCACUUAAUGCGUUAGCUUCGGCACGGAAGGAGUCGACACCUCCCACACCUAGUGCCCAUCGUUUACGGCGUGGACUAC